ensembl:lncRNA
CGAGAGAGAAGGUCCUGUCUGGCCAGUAUUGAGCCUUGCUGCGUGUUGUUGCCUGCCUGCCAGAGCAAGGACACUUGUGAGCCGGUUCAGAGAGUUUCAGUUCAGUCAGUGAGUGACAGUAAGUAAGUCUAGACCAUGCAUCCAAAUGGACCACGGCAAGUUACAAGUAGAGUUUAAAACCCCUUGAGCACCGCUGAAGAGGAGAGAAUAGCAAAGGAUAGAAGAGGAAAGAGAGAGCUACAUUGAGUUAUAUAGAGUGUUACCUCAGGGGUUGGCUGCACACGCACACAGACAGAGUUGAGGAUGAUGGCUGAGGGACGCUUUGCCAGCCUACCCAGGUCCCUCAACACACAGCAUGCCCUAGGAGGAGGCCCCGCCCGGCCGGGGGAGCCCAGGGGUCCACUGGGUGUGUCUGGGGCCAGCCCAAUGACCUCCAGGAGGCUCCAGGCAUCCCUCACCUCCUCCAUGGAGCUCAUCAGUUCCUCCAGAAACGGAACUAAUUCAGGACAGGGCACUGGGCAAUCAGAGCUGCCCAAUGCCGCCUACCACACAGUCUCCAUUCACG